GCUAGAUUGAUGGCGAGUGGCGAACGGGUGAGUAAUACAUCGGAACGUGCCCUGUAGUGGGGGAUAACUAGUCGAAAGAUUAGCUAAUACCGCAUACGACCUGAGGGUGAAAGUGGGGGACCGCAAGGCCUCAUGCUAUAGGAGCGGCCGAUGUCUGAUUAGCUAGUUGGUGGGGUAAAGGCCCACCAAGGCGACGAUCAGUAGCUGGUCUGAGAGGACGAUCAGCCACACUGGGACUGAGACACGGCCCAGACUCCUACGGGAGGCAGCAGUGGGGAAUUUUGGACAAUGGGCGAAAGCCUGAUCCAGCAAUGCCGCGUGUGUGAAGAAGGCCUUCGGGUUGUAAAGCACUUUUGUCCGGAAAGAAAUGGCUCUGGUUAAUACCUGGGGUCGAUGACGGUACCGGAAGAAUAAGGACCGGCUAACUACGUGCCAGCAGCCGCGGUAAUACGUAGGGUCCAAGCGUUAAUCGGAAUUACUGGGCGUAAAGCGUGCGCAGGCGGUUGUGCAAGACCGAUGUG
rnacentral:rRNA from 1 species